GUGUGUGUGUGGGGGGGAUGCAAGCAAGGAGUGUGUCAAGCAAGGAGUGUGCAUGUGUCAGAGGAUGCAACUACAACAAUGUCUUUUUGGGACAAAUCAUUACUAUUUUACUUCUGUGCUUCUAUGCACAAUGUAAU